rnacentral:lncRNA from 1 species
UCCGCUUCUGCUACUUGGAUUCCCUUCUGGACCUCGAGAUCCCGGAGGAGCAGGGGAGGAAACUCAACGACGAGGAGAUCAUCUCGCUCUGCUCCGAGUUCCUCGUCGCCGGCACCGACUCCACCUCCACGGCGCUGGAGUGGAUCAUGGCCAACGUCGUUAAGCACCCAAGCGUGCAGGAAAGACUGGCGGAGGAAAUCGGCGCAAACACCAAGGAGGAUGACCUGGAGAAGAAACCAUACCUGAAGGCCGUGGUCCUAGAGGCGAUCCGGCGACAUCCGCCGACUCACUUUGCGAUUCCCCACGCUGCCAAGGAGGAGAUAUCUCUGUGCGGGUAUACCAUCCCCAAGGGCGCGAACGUCAGCUUCGCGGCGGUGAGGAU